rnacentral:rRNA from 1 species
UACGUAGGGUGCGAGCGUUAAUCGGAAUUACUGGGCGUAAAGCGUGCGCAGGCGGUUUGUUAAGCCAGAUGUGAAAGCCCCGGGCUCAACCUGGGAACUGCGUUUGGUACUGGCAAGCUAGAGUACGGCAGAGGGGGGUGGAAUUCCACGUGUAGCAGUGAAAUGCGUAGAGAUGUGGAGGAACGCCGAUGGCGAAGGCAGCCCCCUGGGCCGAUACUGACGCUCAGGCACGAAAGCGUGGGGAGCAAACAGG